GAUGAACGCUGGCGGCGUGCCUAAUACAUGCAAGUCGAACGAAGAUCUAGCUUGCUAGAUCUUAGUGGCGAACGGGUGAGUAAUACAUAAAUAAUCUGCCCAUAUGACUGGGAUAACUAUUGGAAACGAUAGCUAAUACCGGAUAGGUUGAUCGGAGGCAUCCCUGAUGAAUUAAAGUAGGAUUUCUACACAAAUGGAUGGGUUUAUGGCGCGUUAGUUAGUUGGUGGGGUAACGGCCUACCAAGACGAUGAUGCGUAGCCGGCCUGAGAGGGUGACCGGAGACAUAGGGACUGAGACACGGCCCAGACUCCGAGGGGAGGGAGCAGUAGGGAAUUUUCGCCAAUGGGCGCAAGUCUGACCGAGCGACGACGCGUGGGUGAUUAAGGCCUUCGGGUUGUAAAGCUCUGUUGUAAGGGAAGAACAUUCAGGAUAGGAAAUGAUCUUGAACUGACGGUACCUUACCAGAAAGCCACGGCUAACUACGUGCCAGCCGCCGCGGUAA
rnacentral:rRNA from 1 species